AUUUCUCAAGGUUCAUCAUGUCAUCACAAGUAUAGUGUCUGUUCUUAUCAAUUUAAUAUCUGAUACAUCCUCUAUUGAGAUAAUAUAUUAAAUGGAUUUUUAGAGCUAGGAGAUGGAAUAGGAGCUUGCUCUGUCCACUCCACACAUUGAUUGGGUAUUGUCAGGAAGGUUAUACCCCAUUUGGGGGACAUGGA